rnacentral:rRNA from 1 species
GGGAUGUAAACUUCGCAAGAAUGGGAAGAAUUAGUAGGGGCUAAUACCCUCUAUGAUGACGGUACCAUUUGUAAGCUCCGGCUAACUCCGUGCCAGCAGCCGCGGUAAUACGGGGGGAGCAAGCGUUGUUCGGAUUUACUGGGCGUAAAGGGCGCGUAGGCGGUCAGCACAAGUCAGUUGUGAAAUCUCCGGGCUUAACUCGGAAAGGUCAACUGACACUGUGCGACUAGAGUGCGGAAGGGGCAACUGGAAUUCUCGGUGUAGCGGUGAAAUGCGUAGAUAUCGAGAGGAACACCUGCGGCGAAGGCGGGUUGCUGGGCCGACACUGACGCUGAGGCGCGAAAGCCAGGGGAGCGAACGGGAUUAGAUACCCCGGUAGUCCUGGCCUUAAACGAUGGAUGCUUGGUGUCUGGAGUUUUAUAGUCUCCGGGUGCCGCAGCUAACGCGUUAAGCAUCCCGCCUGGGGAGUACGGUCGCAAGACUGAAACUCAAAGGAAUUGACGGGGACCCGCACAAGCGGUGGAGCAUGUGGUUCAAUUCGACGCAACGCGAAGAACCUUACCUGGGCUAGAAUGCCUCUGACACCCGUAGAGGUACGGUCUCCCAGGGAAACCUAGGCAGAGUGCAAGGUGCUGCAUGGCU